AACGAAUAUCGCUCUCUUUCUCUCUCUAGACAAAGAAGAAGGGAGCACCAGGGACCUCCGCUCUGUUAAGACUGAAGAAUAUCCCCCAACACACAGCCCAUGAUGAGGUGGUGAAGGCCGUGGAACCCUUCGGAAAGAUCAACAACGUCAUUCAGCUCAAGCCCAUACAGCAGGCAUCCGUGUUGUUUGAGAGGGAGGAGGAUGCUAAGAAGCUGGCUAGCUGUAAGAACCUGACCAUCAAAGGCCAGACCAUCACCGUACUAACGGAGAAAGAUGCUCUGCUGGACGACUCCAAGGAACUGAACCAAACCAACAAGUCUACCGAUGAAAACUGAAGGAGACUCCACACUAACCAAGUCUCGAAGGUGAAAGUGUCUACGCAUUUGAAAACGUCAAAGGACUAUACCAACAUCCCAGGACUUCAGAGAGAAGUAUUGUGAAGACUUGGAUCUCAAUUUGGGGGGGGGGGGGUCUACUAAGGAGAAGGAUCAUGUGAUCAGAUUACCAGGACUUCCUGAAGUGUCACAGGGUGCAGUAAGCUUUUUUUGAGCUGGGAAUGUCCAGAGCUUUCCCGGUUGUCAUAUUUACCAGGAAGUGUGUGAACCUACAGAUUUGUUGUUGACAGACGUUGGAUGUUUGUGUGGGCAACAAUAAACGUGUGUGAGAAACAA